UGGCCAUAUCACGUUGAAACACCGGUUCCACUACAUUCACGGAAGUAAAGCAACGUCGAGCCUGGUCAGUAUUUAUAGGGGUGACCGCUUGCGAAUACCGGGUGCUGUAA